AAUAAAGUAUAAAGAAAGUGAGCAAAGAACACUGAAGCGGUUCAUGAAUUAAGUCUAAAGUGAUGUAUGCACUUUCACAUUUUUAUUUAUGCCUAAUGAAGAUGCAGAAUUCAGAACGUGCUCACUAAACAAUUCAGCGGUUACUAAUCAAAAUGACUCUGAUUGGACAUUGUGGUCAUCAGCUCUGCACAAACAUGUGUAAUCCUCAGCGCUGCAAACCGCUGAGAUCAGUCUCCCAACCUGUAGUCAGUUCUGCACAGUUAAAGUAUUUAACUCAUGUUUUAUAAAAUGUAUUUGCAUGCAUUAUGUUUUUGUCAUGUACUAUUUUGAGUCAUGAUGUUUUAGACCUUAAUAACAGUCAAUGUGAUUAGUUACAGAACAUUUCUGGUGGGCAAAUAUACAGUGUCAAGUCACCAUUAAGGAACUGUCAGAAACAGCAGGCUAACAGCAACGGCCACCGAUCAAGAGAUAGAAUUCUUUAUAAAAAAAAUGGCUUCACCUUGCAUGUGACCGAGAUGGAGGGAGAAGAGAAAGAUAGAAACGAAAGAGUGUCCAAGAAACCUGCCUGCAAGAUUGCCAUGAUGCUGAUGGGCCCAGUCAAGGAGGUCAAUAAAUCCUAUAAGUUUGGAUUGUUCCUGUUGCCAAGGUUCUGCAGUGUUCACUACUACAACGUCGGACAAGUUUGUUUUUGGAUGAGCUAACCUAUACAUAGCUACUGGAUGUACUUGAUGUUUUUUUUUUCCAUGUUUAGAUUGCUUCUCAGUUUUGGAAAUGUAAUCAUUCAAUGGGUUUUUCAUUGGCAAUAUUAAUAAAUAAUGCA